AGAACUUUCCACUGGAGUGUCCCGGGAGGAGAAGCUUGGCCCCAGCAAUCAUUCUGAUCAGAAGGUGGGGAAUGUGGAGUGGAGAUAUUCGUCUGCUUCAUUCUACAUGACAAGUCCACGAGUGUACCGGAAGAAAUCUCCAAGUCCAAAGAAAAAACUACCUUUCUAGGAAAAACACGUGCCUCCCUUGCUAUGCCCUUCGAUGCUAACAGCCCUCUCAAAAGAAAGCACAUGGCUGUGUGUAUCCAGAAGUGGAGUUGAUACCCUCUGGGCUCCGCCAUGCAUCAUCUGUUCAGACUGGUUUUGGGACAAAGGGACCUUUCCCGUGCUGGGGACCUCUUCUCCUUGAAUGACUCAGAGAUUGAAGAAAGCCUGUCGGAAGCUUUGGAACAAAUUAAAAUAAUUAGCUCAUCUUCAGACUAUUCAUCCAAUUGCAAUGACCAAGCUGUGGUUGAGAUCUGUAUCACUCGCAUCACGACAGCCAUCAGGGAGACUGAGUCCAUCGAGAAGCAUGGCAAGGCCCUCGUGGCUCUCUGGGAAUCCUGCUUGGAGCACAAUCUCAGACCUUCAGGAAAAGAUGAGGAUACCCCACACGCAAAAAUUGCUUCUGAUAUCACGAGUUGUAUUUUGCAGAAUUACGAUCGACAUUCUGUGAUGGCAUUAGCGGUCCCAGUGGCAGUGAAAUUCCUCCAGAGGGGUAACAAGGAGCUCUGCAGAAAUAUGUCGAGUUACCUGUCCCUGGCUGCAAUCUCCAAUCCCGAUCUCCUGGCUGAUCACACUGAUGCAAUAGUAAAGAGCAUCCUGCAAGGCAACUCCAUGUUGUUGCGUGUCUUGCCUUCUGUGUAUGAAAAGCAACCACAGCUAAUUAACAGCCGUGUAACGGAGCUGGUGACCCUGAUGUGCCAGCUAGAGCCAACAGAACAACACCAUCUUCUCAGGCUGCUGCAGAUGGUCGCGAGGAGGAAAUGGCCCACGGUGCUUCAGGAAUGUAUUCCUUUCUUAAUUGGACAUUUAAAGAACCCUACUCACAGUGACAUUAUCCUAAAUAUACUCACAGAAAUAUCUAGCUAUGAACCAGCAGCUUUGAAUCAUUUUCUUCCAACACUGAAGGAGAUUGGUACAAGCUUUCCCAACCUGAUUGGACGAAUGGCAAGACUCUAUGGAGCUGUUGGGCAUGUGAAUGAAGAGAGUGCAAGGACCUGUCUGACUUACCUGGUGGAGCAGCUCGCUAACAUGGAGCAUUCCUUUCACCACCUUCUCUUGUUGGAGAUUAAGAAUCUUACAGACACCUUCUCUGCCAUCCUGGGGACUCAAAGCAGAGAUAUCUACCGGAUGAGUAACAGUUUCACCGCCAUCGCUAAGCUUCUCUUUCGGCACCUGGACAGCGACAAUGCCCAAAGAAGGAGGAUGGAAAGUGAGCCUGAAAAGGAACCUUCAGAACCAUUGGAAGAUCUCAAAUCUACUGCAAGUAAAGGAAAUGAAGAGGAUGAAAGGCUGCAAGUUAAGAUACAGGCUUUUGAAGAGAAAAUAAAUGGAGAGAACAGCCCUCCUGGUUCUGUUAGAAGAUAUAGUCUAAGCCAAGUUUCAAAGGAAGAAAGAAAAGAUAUGAGAUUUAACAGGUCAAAAAGUUUAGCUUUGCAUGCAGUCCACCUAAAUCACACAAAUCCAGAUGACGAGCAAGAUGUUAAGAGUGGAGAUGUAAUGGCCAGCAUCUCUUUUUCAGAAAUAGACACACUUAGCCAAGAAAAUUACAAGUCACCAUUUAAGGCAGAUACUGAAGAAUCACAGCUGGAAAUUUCUCCAAUUUCACACCCAAGUAGUAAAUGGACAGAAUCUGAGAACUUGCCAGAAGCAGUUAAAGAGAAUGGCCAUGAAGAAACACCAGAGACUGCACAAAGUCAUGUGGAAUACCAGGAUAAACUCUAUUUGCACUUAAAGGAAAAUCUCAGCAAAGUGAAAGCAUAUGUCAUGGAAAUUGGGAGGAGCAUUCCAGUCCCAGAUCAGUGCACCAUUGAAGAUGCGGUUGGAAGUUGUGUAGCAAAGCUGUCCUUCAGUUGCACCUUGAAGGGUCAUUACUGCCUAUACAGUAAGUCCAGCUUUACCCUCAUCAGCCACCAGCCUCAGCUAUGGAUUCGUAUCAUGUUUCUGUUUCAGCAGUGCUCAUUUCUGGAGCCGCUGUCCACACAAAGCCCGUCGGUGCGAGCUCUCAGAUCCUUGUGGGAGAAGACACAGAUAAAAGGAGCUCACAGUUUUGAAACUGCAAUGAUACAAUCUACAUUUCCCCAUAAGAAGGACCUGGACCAGGUGCAGCAACAUCUGGAGGAAGUGAGAUUCUUCGAUUUGUUUGGCUUUAGCGAAGAAGCAGGCGCGUGGCAGUGUUUCAUGUGCAAUCACCCGGAGAAGGCGACAGUUGUAAAUCAAGAUGGCCAACCUCUCAUGGAAGGAAAACUGAAAGAGAAACAAGUUCGAUGGAAGUUCAUUAAAAGGUGGAAAACCCGUUAUUUUACCCUGGCUGGUAAUCAACUUCUGUUUAGGAAAGGCAAGUCGAAAGAUGAUUCAGAUGACUGCCCCAUCGAACUGAGCAAAGUCCAGAGUGUCAAAAUCGUGGCCAAGAAACGCAGGGACCGUAGUCUUCCCCGGGCCUUCGAGAUUUUUACUGACAGCAAGACCUAUGUCUUCAAGGCCAAAGAUGAGAAGAAUGCUGAAGAGUGGCUUCAGUGCAUUAACGUGGCAGUGGCUCAAGCCAAAGAAAGGGAGAGCAGAGAAGCCACCACCUACCUGUAGUCAACAUUGCAUGGGACAGCUCAUCACAUCUUCUGCCAAACAACCUGAAAGGCAGCAAUUGGACUCAACAAGGCCUUACCAUGUCACCCCUGUUCAACAAAUUCAGUGGCUCCCAACUUGGAUUAAAAACAAAUACAAAAUCCUCUGUUUAGGUUAGUAAGUCUCUUCCAGCCUUCUCGGGUUUCCACACUUUAUUUCCCUCCAUGUCCACAAUGAUCCAGUGACUCUGGCCCUCCAAUUCCUUGCACAGGACACUUCAUCUUUUGACUCUAUUCAUUUCCAGUUACCAUUCCCCAAGCCUGGAAUCUUUGCUUUCUUACCUCUAUGUCCUGGGUUCUCCAGAUUCCUUUAAGACUCAGAUCAAACCCCACCUUCAGCAUAUGACCUUUCCCAGUCUAGUUCCUUACCUCUAACAUCAUCUUCCAUUUACCCUGUAUGUACUAUUUUUAUCAUUUCAUCUGCUCUAAAAGAAUGUGAGCUAAUCAAGGGCAGGGACUGUUUUUGCCUUUCUUUAUAUUCCAGUGCCUGAAAUGUAAGGAAGUACUUAAUCAAUGCUUGUUGACUAUCUAUCCCACAGUAUGUACAAGGCAUAGAGAGAACAAGAAAGUAUACCCACAGUAACAUCAAUGGUCUCCGUUCUCCAUAGACAUACUAUCUCAUUAAAAAAUGUUCAGUUUCGAGGAAUCCUUUAUUUGCCUGCCUUUAUCAUCUUCUUUGGCCAUGAAACUGCAGAAACCUGAGUCAAUACCCAUGCAUUUUUAGGACAAUUUACAGUUUCUGUAUUUUAAAGACUCCUUGCCUGAAAAGCACAAAGACCUUUGGGGUUUUAUUUGGAAAUCUAUGAAAUUAACCAAGCUAGUCCUAAUCUCCAAUAGCGCAUGCCUGGAUGUUGAAACUGGUUAGCAAAACCAGUGUUGUAACAAAUAUUAAGAUGGUAUUAAGUGACAUUGCAUGCAUUAUUUAUUAUUGUGGUGCCAACAGAAUGCUCAGACCUUGACAAGGCAGAAAAACAGCAAUGAAAUGAAAUCCUAGUAGUUCACUCACACACACACAUACACACACACACACACACACACACACACACACACCACACCACACACACACACACACACACACACACACACACACACACUGGUCUUAUCAAUUGAGAGAAAGAAUCCUUUCUGUGACUUCUUACCAAAGAUCUGUGAUUUCGUUACCUGGCUGCCUCUAUAUUUGAGGCCAACACUAACCUCCUUGCCUUUAAACCAGAUCUAGUGAGGAGUACAUGGACAAAGUUUAAGUGAGUGAAAGUUCUGGUUUCACUCUGAUAGUCAGCAUUCCAAGCAUCAGCUGGCUCCCCAGGCUCCAAAAUCAAACUGUGAAUCUCCAAAUAAUCAGCUCUCCUGGGGUGUUUAUUACUGGAAUUCCUACUGCAGUGGCUGGCCAGGCUCAACUUGAGAUGGGUCUAUGUCCCAAGAGGAGGUUACCAUUCUUCAUCCCGACCUAGGCAGACUGCUUUUGUAAACAUUUCUGAACCUUAAAACAAAAUGUUGGUUUGAAUUAAGUUAGAACAGAGAUUCAAAUGGAUCUCAUUUUUAUUCUCAUUUUUAAUUUUUUUUUCACAGAAAGCCUGGGGCAACUUGCUCUAUGUGAGGACCUGAGCGCCAACUCCCUUCAAAGCUAGAUUCCAGCCUCAGAUCCACGACACCCUUCCUGUUCCUCCCCUAUCGUUUCCCCUACUGCUCCCCAAAGUUAUCUUGUAUUCCCUUAUCUGUAUGAACCUAUUAUGUCCUUCGCCCAAUAGAAUUUAAGCUUUUUGAUGGCAGGAAUUAUUAAAAGCAGUACUUUCCACUGCACCCCCAAAUUACUUUGUGAUUUCUUAUCUGUGUACAUAUUGCCCACUUGAAUAUUCUUACUGUGAGAAUAUCAUUGAGUAUACUUAUGUUCGAUGCAGACUUUCCCUAGAUGGGAACACAAUAGCAGGUUUCACAGAUGGAGACAGAAGAGAAGACACAUGGGGAAUACCAGAUUAAGCUGAUUUUCUAUGUGCAAGGUCCUACAAUGUAACAAGUAACUCAUUACCAAUGCCCUGAGCUCUCAGGGACCAAGGUCAGCCUUGGAACUCUCUCACUAAGUUACUCUUUUAACUCCUGCCCCUUCCCCUGGCUCUCCCCUAGGAAUGACAGAAUUGGAGUCAUCACUAAAGAAAAAAGAGCCCCCGCUCCCUAUUCAAGCACGUAGGGUAACAUAAUAUCAAUGACAGGACAGAUUUCUCUGUUCCUGGCAGUAAAAGCAAAGGAAUCAUGCUAGAAUGCGUAAUUAGUCCAAUUAUCUCUCCAUUAGUGAGCUUCCCCUAUUCAGGGGUCUAUUUAGUUGUUUCAAAUGUAUAUAGCACCUCCCUGAGUGGGAGGACUACUUUUUAGAGGAAAAAAAAAUUGAAGUCUCUAAAGCAGGGGUUCUUAACCUGGG